CAGAGGCAAAGUCAACCCAGAAUAAGGAAGACUGGAAGGAAGAAGAGAAAAUCCCCCAGCCUGGAGCUGGCUGAGGGGUACUUGGGGCGUAGGAGUCAGCGCCAACCCUCCACAGGACGGCCUCAUCCCCCUUCAUGGUGGUUUCAGAUUUGCUUUGGAUUUGGAUGCUGGUGUUUGGAAAUGUCACUAAAGCAAAGUCACGUGAAAACUGUGGACAAGUAUUGAAUGCAGAUAAGGAAUUGAGAUGAUCCCUGAUAACCACUUAGCCACAAAAGAACAUUCUGUGACAGCUGCCAGUUCAGGGACAACCCUGUGUGUCCAACCACAAAGGGCAGGGGAGUCUUGCCUGCUGAUCAUUUUUAGGGAGGCAGGAUGGGCCAGGGCUUAGGUCAAGGGGCUCAGGAGUUGACCAGAUCUGGGACUGAGUUCUUCCUCUACCGUUGUGUGAUUUAACUACUUAAUCUUUCUGUGCUUCAGUUCCUGCAUGUGCAAAAUGAUCAUGGUUUUGCCUUUUUUUU